rnacentral:rRNA from 1 species
CUUGAACGCUGGCGGCAGGCCUAACACAUGCAAGUCGAACGAGGGGCGGACGGGUGAGUAAUGUCUGGGAAACUGCCUGAUGGAGGGGGAUAACUACUGGAAACGGUAGCUAAUACCGCAUACCCUCGGAUGUGCCCAGCUGGGAUUAGCUAGGAGGUGGGGUAACGGCUCACCUAGGGGACGAUCCCUAGCUGGUCUGAGAGGAUGACCAUCCACACUGGAAAGGUGACACGGUCCAGACUCCUACGGGAGGCAGCAGUGGGGAAUAUUGCACAAUGGGCGCAAGCCUGAUGCAGCCAUGCCGCGUGUAUGAAGAAGGCCUUCGGGUUGUAAAGUACUUUCAGCGGGGAGGCGUUACCCGCAGAAGAAGCACCGGCUAACUCCGUGCCAGCAGCCGCGGUAAUAC